UUCUGUCUUCUUUUGAGCCCUCCAAAUUGUUCUAACCUCUGCCUGUUACCCAGUUCCAAAGUCACUUCCACAUUUUUGCGUAUCUUUACAGCAGCUCUCCAAGACCUCGGUACCAAUUUGUUGUAUUAGUAUGUUCUCAUGCUGCUAU